AAUAUUGGACAAUGGGGGGAACCCUGAUCCAGCCAUGCCGCGUGUGUGAAGAAGGUCUUCGGAUUGUAAAGCACUUUAAGUUGGGAGGAAGAGUUGUAGGCUAAUACCUUGCAAUUUUGACGUUACCAACAGAAUAAGCACCGGCUAACUUCGUGCCAGCAGCCGCGGUAAUACGAAGGGUGCAAGCGUUAAUCGGAAUUACUGGGCGUAAAGCGCGCGUAGGUGGUUCGUUAAGUUGGAAGUGAAAGCCCCGGGCUUAACCUGGGAAUUGCUUUCAAAACUGACGAGCUAGAGUACGGUAGAGGGUAGUGGAAUUUCCUGUGUAGCGGUGAAAUGCGUAGAUAUGUGGAGGAAUACCGAUGGCGAAGGCGACCACCUGGGCUAAUACUGACACUGAGGUGCGAAAGCGUGGGCAGCAAACAGG
rnacentral:rRNA from 1 species